ACCAAAAAACACACUUUCCCCUUCUCUGUGUCCUCGCUCGCUAAUCGCUAUAAACCCUACUCCGAAAUCCGAUUACCGAAGCUGCAACCGGAGCACCACUCGAUCCCACCAUUCCCGCCGAUGGGGGCGGCGAUGUCGACCAGCAACGCGGUGGCCGCCGGCGCCUACAUGGGCCCGACCGGCUACGCCGCCGCCGCCGCCGCCGGCGCACUUGCGGCGGGCGGCGCCGUGGCCGUGCUCGUCGCCUUCACUCUCCCUACCCCUGACCAACCACUCCCACCCCUCCCGCCGAUCGUCGUGCGCUGCAGAAAGCUCCUCGAUGACAUCCGCCGCGCCGCGCCGCGUUCACACCACCGGUUCCAGGUCGCCUCCGGGGCGCUCGCCGAGGCCGACCGCGCCAUCGCCGCCGGCGCCUGGGGCGGCCUCCACAAACCGCUGCUGCUCGUCGUCAGGGCGUUCGCGCUGGACGCCCUGGGGCAGCGCCGCCGCGCGCUCCGCGCCCUCGCCGGCCGCCUCCCGCCGCGGGAGCGCGGGGACGCGCUCGUGAAGCGCGCGGAGAUCAACCUGGACUACUACCGCCGCUGCUUCUUCCCCUGCCCCGCCCGCCUCGACCGCGCCGCCGCCGAUCUCAAGGAGGCCCUCUGCUUCGUCCCCGACAACGCCCGCGCGCGCGCGCGAUGCUCGGCGAGUGCUCGAGGAAGAAGGGCGGCUACAAGAAGAAGGAUCUGGCUCGGGCACGCCGCCGUGAAGUAAUUAAUUACUGAUAUGUUACUAUUAUUUUUACUGCAGAGGAGUACUUAUCUACUCCCUCCGUUUCACAAUUGGAGUCGAGACCUGGUGAUCGAGAAGAGACUCGAUCUCUUACAAGUAUGGAUGGAGCUAGCUUUUGCAAGCUUUGGACACUCUUCGUCCUUCCCAAAUCCCAAUCGAGCUAGCAUUGUAUGAUCUAUGGUGAUCAGCAUACCAAUAAAUACUAUCAGCAAUAUGUUCCUGGACCAUUUUUCGUCCGGUCUUUGCUGGUGGAGUGAUGCCUGUGGCUGUUGGAAUAAAUGUACUUUUAAGAAUAAUUCCUGUCACGUGGAGGGAGUAUGUGAUAUUUUAUUUUUUAUGUGUUGGAUGA